AACGAACGCUGGCGGCAUGCCUAACACAUGCAAGUCGAACGAGACCUUCGGGUCUAGUGGCGCACGGGUGCGUAACGCGUGGGAACCUGCCCUUAGGUUCGGAAUAACUCUCCGAAAGGGGUGCUAAUACCGGAUAAUGUCUUCGGACCAAAGAUUUAUCGCCCUUGGAUGGGCCCGCGUUGGAUUAGCUAGUUGGUAGGGUAAAAGCCUACCAAGGCGACGAUCCAUAGCUGGUCUGAGAGGAUGAUCAGCCACACUGGGACUGAGACACGGCCCAGACUCCUACGGGAGGCAGCAGUGGGGAAUAUUGGAAAAUGGGCGAAAGCCUGAUCCAGCAAUGCCGCGUGAGUGAUGAAGGCAUUAGGGUUGUAAAGCUCUUUUACCCGGGAUGAUAAUGACAGUACCGGGAGAAUAAGCGCCGGCUAACUCCGUG
rnacentral:rRNA from 1 species